GGGUCAGUAGGUUGGUCGUGCCACCGGUACGUACUGGUCUCACUGAUUCCUCCUUCCCGAAGAACCGUAAUGCCAUUAAUUUGGUGUUGCGGGGAAACAGGACUGUUACUUUGAAAAAAUUAGAGUGUUUAAAGCAAGCUAACGCCUGAAUACAUUAGCAUGGAAUAAUGAAAUAGGACGAUCGAUCCUAUUUUGUUGGUUUCUAGGAUUGACGUA
rnacentral:rRNA from 1 species